AAAUGAAGAGGUUCAUGCGCGGAGCGAGCUCCGGCUCUGGGUCCUUGGCUGACCUGCCAGCUCCAGUGCCCUCCAUGGCUCCCAGCUACUCUGAGGAUCACAUCCACGCUCAUUAGGUGGGAUCUGGGGCGCUGCUCCACAUGCUGCCUUCUUACUCCUGGUCAUCCUCGAAGGGCAAGAAGAGCCACUUCUUGGGCAUGUCCCUGAGGAACAGGUCCUGCUGCUCCUCUGUCGAGUCCUGGGACACGUACACCAGAGCCAGCUGGGCUGCCCGCAACACGUAGAACUCAUCCGUGAGCCGCACAAAGAAGUCCCUGAGGAUGGGUGCAAAGGCCUGGCACUUCGGGCACGAGCCGGCACCAAAGAACAGCAGCACCAGUCGGUUUUCCAGCCGGCGGCUAAGCUCAGCCUCCGUGUCCAACUCAUCCUGGUCACUGUUGUUUCGGAUCAGGACACGGCCAGAGAACAGGCAGGCCAUGACAACCCUGGCUGGGUGCUGGGGACAGGGCGCAAGAACCUUGUGUGACCCCGAGCCUGCUGACUGGCUGCUGUCCCAGGAUUAGGAAUUUUUAGGAGGCCAGUUUAGAACCUCACUAAUCUGCCUAAACUCGACCUGAUUCUUUGCUGCCUCUGAGGGCAGGGGGUCAGCUGCUCAUGGGCCUGUCUCAGCAGACAGCUGCUAAGGCAUUAAAAAAACAGGCUGACAUACUGGUGUGAAAAUAUUUUGUUAAAUUGUGAUGUAAAAAGAUACGUGCCUCUUCAUGAAUGCAUUCGGUAAUCCUAAACCACAGGGCUCGACUAAUUAAUAACAGUGAUUUCUAAGUCGAGAUGAGCAUAAAUGAUAUUUCAAGGUGUCUGCCUGCCAUGACCAGGAUGUCCUGUGAAAUUAUCUUUGAUUUACACGGGUGACAAAGUCACAGAGCUGGCCAAUAUCUGCUUUGAUAGGACAUGAGAAAACAGGCUAAAUUCCAGUUAGAAAUUAAUAAGAAUAAACUCUUUUUUCUUCCCUUCGCCCUCCUGAAUUCUGUCUGAACAGCCCACCUUAAGAUUCCAUGGUGAGUAAGGGUGAAAAUCAUGGUCACAGUAUUUUGCGGCCCUCUCCCACCAAGCGCUGGGAACUAGUUCUCCUCUCCUUGAAGCCAGUUGGCUCCUAACUUGCUUUGACCGAUAGAAUGUGGUGGAAGGUGUGAGUUCGCACGAUAAGCCUUAUUCUCACCUCCCACUUUCACUCUUUUGGAAUGUGGCCUCCAGACGCCCCAUGUAAGGAAGCUGAUCUAGCCCAGAGGUUGGCAAACUUUUUAUAUAAAGGGCCAGGGAGUAAAUAUUUUUGACAUUUUAGGCCAUAGAGUCUCUGCUACAACUUUGAAUUCUCUU